rnacentral:rRNA from 1 species
CCUACGGGUGGCAGCAGUGGGGAAUAUUGGACAAUGGGGGGAACCCUGAUCCAGCCAUGCCGCGUGUGUGAAGAAGGCCCUCGGGUUGUAAAGCACUUUCAGUGAGGAAGAACGCCUGGUGGUUAAUACCCAUCAGGAAAGACAUCACUCACAGAAGAAGCACCGGCUAACUCCGUGCCAGCAGCCGCGGUAAUACGGAGGGUGUGAGCGUUAAUCGGAAUUACUGGGCGUAAAGCGCGCGUAGGUGGCUUGAUAAGCCGGUUGUGAAAGCCCCGGGCUCAACCUGGGAACGGCAUCCGGAACUGUCAAGCUAGAGUGCAGGAGAGGAAGGUAGAAUUCCCGGUGUAGCGGUGAAAUGCGUAGAGAUCGGGAGGAAUACCAGUGGCGAAGGCGGCCUUCUGGACUGACACUGACACUGAGGUGCGAAAGCGUGGGUAGCAAACAGGAUUAGAUACCCGUGUAGUC